rnacentral:miRNA from 1 species
UGCCCUUUACAUGGCACAGUGACCUGAAACACACUAUACCAUGUAAAGGGU